GUGCCAGGCAGCCGCCGUAAUACCGAAGGGGGCUAGCGUUGCUCCGAAUCACUGGGCGUAAAGGCGCGCGUAGGCGGCGUUUUAAGUCGGGGGUGAAAGCCUGUGGCUCAACCACCAGAAUGGCCUUCGAUACUGGGACGCUUGAGUAUGGUAGAGGUUGGUGGAACUGCGAGUGUAGAGGUGAAAUUCGUAGAUAUUCGCAAGAACACCGGUGGCGAAGGCGGCCAACUGGACCAUUACUGACGCUGAGGCGCGAAAGCGUGGGGAGCAAACAGGGAUUAGAUACCCUGGUAGUCC
rnacentral:rRNA from 1 species